rnacentral:rRNA from 1 species
GGAGAACUGAGGGGGGCUGCUCCUAGUACGAGAGGACCGGAGUGGACGCAUCACUGGUGUUCGGGUUGUCAUGCCAAUGGCACUGCCCGGUAGCUAAAUGCGGAAGAGAUAAGUGCUGAAAGCAUCUAAGCACGAAACUUGCCCCGAGAUGAGUUCUCCCUGACUCCUUGAGAGUCCUGAAGGAACGUUGAAGACGACGACGUUGAUAGGCCGGGUGUGUAAGCGCAGCGAUGCGUUGAGCUAACCGGUACUAAUGAACCGUGAGGCUUAACCUUACAACGCCGAAGGUGUUU